rnacentral:rRNA from 1 species
GGUUAAGCGACUAAGCGUACACGGUGGAUGCCCUGGCAGUCAGAGGCGAUGAAGGACGUGCUAAUCUGCGAUAAGCGUCGGUAAGGUGAUAUGAACCGUUAUAACCGGCGAUUUCCGAAUGGGGAAACCCAGUGUGAUUCGUCACACUAUCAUUAACUGAAUCCAUAGGUUAAUGAGGCGAACCGGGGGAACUGAAACAUCUAAGUACCCCGAGGAAAAGAAAUCAACCGAGAUUCCCCCAGUAGCGGCGAGCGAACGGGGAGCAGCCCAGAGCCUGAAUCAGUGUGUGUGUUAGUGGAAGCGUCUGGAAAGGCGCGCGAUACAGGGUGACAGCCCCGUACACAAAAAUGCACAUGCUGUGAGCUCGAUGAGUAGGGCGGGACACGUGGUAUCCUGUCUGAAUAUGGGGGGACCAUCCUCCAAGGCUAAAUACUCCUGACUGACCGAUAGUGAACCAGUACCGUGAGGGAAAGGCGAAAAGAACCCCGGCGAGGGGAGUGAAAAAGAACCUGAAACCGUGUACGUACAAGCAGUGGGAGCACGCUUAGGCGUGUGACUGCGUACCUUUUGUAUAAUGGGUCAGCGACUUAUAUUCUGUAGCAAGGUUAACCGAAUAGGGGAGCCGAAGGGAAACCGAGUCUUAACUGGGCGUUAAGUUGCAGGGUAUAGACCCGAAACCCGGUGAUCUAGCCAUGGGCAGGUUGAAGGUUGGGUAACACUAACUGGAGGACCGAACCGACUAAUGUUGAAAAAUUAGCGGAUGACUUGUGGCUGGGGGUGAAAGGCCAAUCAAACCGGGAGAUAGCUGGUUCUCCCCGAAAGCUAUUUAGGUAGCGCCUCGUGAAUUCAUCUCCGGGGGUAGAGCACUGUUUCGGCAAGGGGGUCAUCCCGACUUACCAACCCGAUGCAAACUGCGAAUACCGGAGAAUGUUAUCACGGGAGACACACGGCGGGUGCUAACGUCCGUCGUGAAGAGGGAAACAACCCAGACCGCCAGCUAAGGUCCCAAAGUCAUGGUUAAGUGGGAAACGAUGUGGGAAGGCCCAGACAGCCAGGAUGUUGGCUUAGAAGCAGCCAUCAUUUAAAGAAAGCGUAAUAGCUCACUGGUCGAGUCGGCCUGCGCGGAAGAUGUAACGGGGCUAAACCAUGCACCGAAGCUGCGGCAGCGACGCUUAUGCGUUGUUGGGUAGGGGAGCGUUCUGUAAGCCUGUGAAGGUGUACUGUGAGGUAUGCUGGAGGUAUCAGAAGUGCGAAUGCUGACAUAAGUAACGAUAAAGCGGGUGAAAAGCCCGCUCGCCGGAAGACCAAGGGUUCCUGUCCAACGUUAAUCGGGGCAGGGUGAGUCGACCCCUAAGGCGAGGCCGAAAGGCGUAGUCGAUGGGAAACAGGUUAAUAUUCCUGUACUUGGUGUUACUGCGAAGGGGGGACGGAGAAGGCUAUGUUGGCCGGGCGACGGUUGUCCCGGUUUAAGCGUGUAGGCUGGUUUUCCAGGCAAAUCCGGAAAAUCAAGGCUGAGGCGUGAUGACGAGGCACUACGGUGCUGAAGCAACAAAUGCCCUGCUUCCAGGAAAAGCCUCUAAGCAUCAGGUAACAUCAAAUCGUACCCCAAACCGACACAGGUGGUCAGGUAGAGAAUACCAAGGCGCUUGAGAGAACUCGGGUGAAGGAACUAGGCAAAAUGGUGCCGUAACUUCGGGAGAAGGCACGCUGAUAUGUAGGUGAAGUCCCUCGCGGAUGGAGCUGAAAUCAGUCGAAGAUACCAGCUGGCUGCAACUGUUUAUUAAAAACACAGCACUGUGCAAACACGAAAGUGGACGUAUACGGUGUGACGCCUGCCCGGUGCCGGAAGGUUAAUUGAUGGGGUUAGCGCAAGCGAAGCUCUUGAUCGAAGCCCCGGUAAACGGCGGCCGUAACUAUAACGGUCCUAAGGUAGCGAAAUUCCUUGUCGGGUAAGUUCCGACCUGCACGAAUGGCGUAAUGAUGGCCAGGCUGUCUCCACCCGAGACUCAGUGAAAUUGAACUCGCUGUGAAGAUGCAGUGUACCCGCGGCAAGACGGAAAGACCCCGUGAACCUUUACUAUAGCUUGACACUGAACAUUGAGCCUUGAUGUGUAGGAUAGGUGGGAGGCUUUGAAGUGUGGACGCCAGUCUGCAUGGAGCCGACCUUGAAAUACCACCCUUUAAUGUUUGAUGUUCUAACGUGGACCCGUAAUCCGGGUUGCGGACAGUGUCUGGUGGGUAGUUUGACUGGGGCGGUCUCCUCCUAAAGAGUAACGGAGGAGCACGAAGGUUGGCUAAUCCUGGUCGGACAUCAGGAGGUUAGUGCAAUGGCAUAAGCCAGCUUGACUGCGAGCGUGACGGCGCGAGCAGGUGCGAAAGCAGGUCAUAGUGAUCCGGUGGUUCUGAAUGGAAGGGCCAUCGCUCAACGGAUAAAAGGUACUCCGGGGAUAACAGGCUGAUACCGCCCAAGAGUUCAUAUCGACGGCGGUGUUUGGCACCUCGAUGUCGGCUCAUCACAUCCUGGGGCUGAAGUAGGUCCCAAGGGUAUGGCUGUUCGCCAUUUAAAGUGGUACGCGAGCUGGGUUUAGAACGUCGUGAGACAGUUCGGUCCCUAUCUGCCGUGGGCGCUGGAGAACUGAGGGGGGCUGCUCCUAGUACGAGAGGACCGGAGUGGACGCAUCACUGGUGUUCGGGUUGUCAUGCCAAUGGCACUGCCCGGUAGCUAAAUGCGGAAGAGAUAAGUGCUGAAAGCAUCUAAGCACGAAACUUGCCCCGAGAUGAGUUCUCCCUGAC